rnacentral:misc_RNA from 1 species
GAUGAAGAACGUAGCGAAAUGCGAUAAGUAAUGCGAAUUGCAGAAUUCCAAUGAGUCAUCGAAUCUUUGAACGCACAUUGCGCCCUUUGGUAUUCCGAAGGGCAUGCCUGUUCGAGCGUCAUUAUCACCCCUCAAGCCCUCGGCUUGGUGUUGGACGGUUUGGUGGAGGCCCCCUCGGGGGCUCCUGCCCCUCCCAAAGACAAUGACGGCGGCCUCGUUGGACCCCCGGUACACUGAGUUCUUCACGGGACACGUAUCGGACACAUGGGUUUACGGGACACGGUCUGGCUCCCCUCAGGGAGAAUCUUUCUAAGGUUGACCUCGGAUCAGGUAGGGAUACCCGCUGAACUUAAGCAUAUCAAUAAGCGGAGGA